UACGUAGGGUGCGAGCGUUGUCCGGAAUUAUUGGGCGUAAAGGGCUCGUAGGCGGUCCAUCACGUCGGGAGUGAAAAGCUGGGGCUUAACCCCAGUCCUGCUUCCGAUACGGGUGGACUAGAGGUAGGCAGGGGAGAACGGAAUUCCUGGUGUAGCGGUGAAAUGCGCAGAUAUCAGGAGGAACACCGGUGGCGAAGGCGGGUCUCUGGGCAGUAACUGACGCUGAGAAGCGAAAGCGUGGGGAGCGAACAGG
rnacentral:rRNA from 1 species